UCCACCCCCCUCCUUAGGCAAACAUACUUGAUCCCACACUAUGUGAUGCAAGCCCCUCUGAUCAAUAGAAUGAUCCUAAAGAAAAGCUCUUAUUAUCCUCUAAAGUUGAUAAAUAACAGAUAAAGAAGUAUGCAUAGAAGAUAAAAGAUACAAUAGAAGGGUUGAAAGAAUAGAUUUUAUAAGAGUGAUGUAACUGGCAAAAGAAAACUU
rnacentral:lncRNA from 1 species